UCUUUUGACAGUUAGAAAAAUGAAAAAUACUGAUACAGCAGACGAAUUCUGGAACUAACACUUCCACAAAUCAUUGAUAAUCCAUUUUCCAACUUCUUCAAAUUCCAGACCAUCAACAAGCUAUUCAAAACAAUAAAUGUUAAUAGUUUUGGUGGAGUUAAGCAGCAGAAGUUAAAAGCAUUGUGGAAGACAGUAUGGUGAUUCCUCAAGGAUCUAGAAGCGG
rnacentral:lncRNA from 1 species